rnacentral:lncRNA from 1 species
GCCUAAGGUCACACAUCUAGUAAGUGCAGAGAGUGUUUGGAUCAGAUUUAAUUCAUGCUCUUUGCUCUAGGUCCAGUCACAUCUUCUAUGCCUAUCUCAGCUGCUGACACGUGACUCAGCUGCUCCCAUUUUCCUUGGAAAAGUAGGAGCUGGAAAGGACCUCAGAGGUCAUCCACAUCAACCAUCUCAUUUCACUGAUGAGGAAACUGAGACUUGGACCAGGGGAAGUCAGCUGCCAUGUUGUGAGGACACUCAAGCAAUCCUAUGGAGAGGCCCAUGUGAUGAGGAACUGAAGCCUCCUGCCAACAGCCACGUGAGGGCGCCAUCUUGGAAGCGGAUCUGCCAGCUUCACGCAAGCGUUCAGAUGAAUAUAGCCCUGUCCGACAUCUUCACUACAAUCUCUUGAGAGAACCUGCGCCAGCACUACCUAGCUAUGAUGCUGCAAAAUUCCUGACCCAUAGAAACUGUGAGAUAAUAAAUGCUUGUUGUGUUAAGC